rnacentral:snRNA from 1 species
CUUUGACGACGAGGUCGAUAUG